CCAGUGGUCUAGUGGUAGAAU
rnacentral:siRNA from 1 species